CCCGCCUUAGCUCAGAGGUAGAGCGUGGGACUGUAGAUCCCAUGGUCCCCGGUUCAAAUCCGGGAGGCGGGA
rnacentral:tRNA from 3 species